GGCCCCAUCGUCUAAAGGAUUAGGACAUCACUCUUUCAAGGUGAAGGUAGGGGUUCGAGUCCCCUUGGGGCCA
rnacentral:tRNA from 1 species